GCGCACAUAGCUCAAUUGGUUAGAGCACUCGGCUUAUAUCCGAGCGGUUCUUGGUUCAAGUCCAAGUGUGCGCA
rnacentral:tRNA from 1 species